rnacentral:rRNA from 1 species
AGAGUUUGAUCCUGGCUCAGAAUCAACGCUGGCGGCGUGCCUAACACAUGCAAGUCGAACGAGAAAGUGGAGCAAUCCAUGAGUACAGUGGCGACCGGGUGAGUAACACGUGACCAACCUACCUUCGAGUGGGGGAUAACUCCGGGAAACCGGGGCUAAUACCGACAAUAAUAUCUUCGGGAUGAAAAGCCGGAGAUCAA